rnacentral:rRNA from 1 species
CAAUAGCGUAUAUUGAAGUUGUUGCAGUUAAAAAGCUCGUAGUUGGAUUUCUGGUGGGAGCGAUCGGUCUGGCGCUUAGCGCGAGUACUUGCAUCGUCUCCGGCCAUCCUUGGGGAGAGUCUGUCUGGCAUUAGGUUGUCGGGCAGAGGAUCUUCAUCGUUUACUGUGAAAAAAUUAGAGUGUUCAAAGCAGGCUUAUGCCGUUGAAUAUAUUAGCAUGGAAUAAUAAGAUAGGACUUUGGUACUAUUUUGUUGGUUUGCGCACCAAAGUAAUGAUUAAUAGGGACAGUUGGGGGUAUUCGUAUUCCGUUGUCAGAGGUGAAAUUCUUGGAUUUACGGAAGACGAACUACUGCGAAAGCAUUUACCAAGGAUGUUUUCAUUAA